UUGUUUUGGGACUCUAGAGAGCUAGAAGCGAUAAACUUUGGGGGAAUAAGGAUUCCAAUGGAUUGGCUUCGAGCAAAGGAGGUGGACAAAUCUAUUCUCUGGGAGUCAACUCAUCGUUUCCAAAACCAUUGGGUUGCUCCCCCGCGCAAUACUGAUGCAGCUGUCUAUACCCAUGAGCCUUGCUGCAGAGACAACUCGGGACCUUUCAUCCUUGGUCUCACCCAUGUCAAUUUUUUAAACUAAUUGCAAAGGGAUUGUAGAUAAUAUCAACAUGGUUUCUACCCAUACCUCAGAGUUACAUACACGUGUUUCAAUGUAAAAAUCUUCUUAUGCAAGCCAAUGUUGCCGCUCACUCCUUUUAGCAAGAGUGAGAACAUCCUAUGCUA
rnacentral:lncRNA from 1 species